rnacentral:rRNA from 1 species
CGAGCUAGAGUACGGGUAGAGGAGUGGGGGAAUUUCCUGUGUAGCGGUGAAAUGCGUAGAUAUAGGAAGGAACACCAGUGGCGAAGGCGACCACCUGGACUGAUACUGACACUGAGGUGCGAAAGCGUGGGGAGCAAACAGAAUUAGAUACCCUGGUAGUCCACGCCGUAAACGAUGUCAACUAGCCGUUGGAAUCCUUGAGAUUUUAGUGGCGCAGCUAACGCAUUAAGUUGACCGCCUGGGGAGUACGGCCGCAAGGUUAAAACUCAAAUGAAUUGACGGGGGCCCGCACAAGCGGUGGAGCAUGUGGUUUAAUUUGAAGCAACGCGAAGAACCUUACCAGGCCUUGACAUGCAGAGAACUUUCCAGAGAUGGAUUGGUGCCUUCGGGAACUCUGACACAGGUGCUGCAUGGCUGUUGUCAGCUCGUGUCGUGAGAUGUUGGGUUAAGUCCCGUAACGAGCGCAACCCUUGUCUUUAGUUACCAGCCCGUUAUGGUGGGCAUUUUAAGGAGACUGCCGGUGCCAAACCGGAGGAAGGUGGGGAGGACGUCAAGUCUUCAUGGCCCUUACGGCUUGGGUUCCACACGUGUUCCAAUGGUCGGUCCAGAGGGUUGCCAAGCCGGGAGGUGGAGCUAAUCUCACAAAACCGAUUGUAGUCCGGAUCGCAUUUUGCAAUUGGAUUGCGGGAAGUCGGAAUCGUUAGUAAUCGCGAAUCAGAAUGUCGCGGUGAAUACGUUCCCGGGCCUUG